GGCGUAAGAGGAACAAAUAUAAGCUUCUAACUUAUUCUUUAAGCGGUUAAACUCCGUUUUUAUGCCU
rnacentral:tRNA from 1 species